ACUCCUGCGGGAGGCAGCAGUGGGGAAUAUUGGACAAUGGGCGCAAGCCUGAUCCAGCCAUGCCGCGUGAGUGAUGAAGGCCCUAGGGUUGUAAAGCUCUUUCACCGGUGAAGAUAAUGACGGUAACCGGAGAAGAAGCCCCGGCUAACUUCGUGCCAGCAGCCGCGGUAAUACGAAGGGGGCUAGCGUUGUUCGGAUUUACUGGGCGUAAAGCGCACGUAGGCGGACUAUUAAGUCAGGGGUGAAAUCCCGGGGCUCAACCCCGGAACUGCCUUUGAUACUGGUAGUCUUGAGUUCGAGAGAGGUGAGUGGAAUUCCGAGUGUAGAGGUGAAAUGCGUAGAUAUUCGGAGGAACACCAGUGGCGAAGGCGGCUCACUGGCUCGAUACUGACGCUGGGGUGCGAAAGCGUGGGGAGCAAACAGGAUUAGAAACCCCAGUAGUCCC
rnacentral:rRNA from 1 species